rnacentral:rRNA from 1 species
GAUGAACGCUGGCGGCGUGCCUAAUACAUGCAAGUCGAGCGAACGGACGAGAAGCUUGCUUCUCUGAUGUUAGCGGCGGACGGGUGAGUAACACGUGGAUAACCUACCUAUAAGACUGGGAUAACUUCGGGAAACCGGAGCUAAUACCGGAUAAUAUUUUGAACCGCAUGGUUCAAAAGUGAAAGACGGUCUUGCUGUCACUUAUAGAUGGAUCCGCGCUGCAUUAGCUAGUUGGUAAGGUAACGGCUUACCAAGGCAACGAUGCAUAGCCGACCUGAGAGGGUGAUCGGCCACACUGGAACUGAGACACGGUCCAGACUCCUACGGGAGGCAGCAGUAGGGAAUCUUCCGCAAUGGGCGAAAGCCUGACGGAGCAACGCCGCGUGAGUGAUGAAGGUCUUCGGAUCGUAAAACUCUGUUAUUAGGGAAGAACAUAUGUGUAAGUAACUGUGCACAUCUUGACGGUACCUAAUCAGAAAGCCACGGCUAACUACGUGCCAGCAGCCGCGGUAAUACGUAGGUGGCAAGCGUUAUCCGGAAUUAUUGGGCGUAAAGCGCGCGUAGGCGGUUUUUUAAGUCUGAUGUGAAAGCCCACGGCUCAACCGUGGAGGGUCAUUGGAAACUGGAAAACUUGAGUGCAGAAGAGGAAAGUGGAACUCCAUGUGUAGCGGUGAAAUGCGCAGAGAUAUGGAGGAACACCAGUGGCGAAGGCGACUUUCUGGUCUGUAACUGACGCUGAUGUGCGAAAGCGUGGGGAUCAAACAGGAUUAGAUACCCUGGUAGUCCACGCCGUAAACGAUGAGUGCUAAGUGUUAGGGGGUUUCCGCCCCUUAGUGCUGCAGCUAACGCAUUAAGCACUCCGCCUGGGGAGUACGACCGCAAGGUUGAAACUCAAAGGAAUUGACGGGGACCCGCACAAGCGGUGGAGCAUGUAGUUUAAUUCGAAGCAACGCGAAGAACCUUACCAAAUCUUGACAUCCUUUGACAACUCUAGAGAUAGAGCCUUCCCCUUCGGGGGACAAAGUGACAGGUGGUGCAUGGUUGUCGUCAGCUCGUGUCGUGAGAUGUUGGGUUAAGUCCCGCAACGAGCGCAACCCUUAAGCUUAGUUGCCAUCAUUAAGUUGGGCACUCUAAGUUGACUGCCGGUGACAAACCGGAGGAAGGUGGGGAUGACGUCAAAUCAUCAUGCCCCUUAUGAUUUGGGCUACACACGUGCUACAAUGGACAAUACAAAGGGCAGCGAAACCGCGAGGUCAAGCAAAUCCCAUAAAGUUGUUCUCAGUUCGGAUUGUAGUCUGCAACUCGACUACAUGAAGCUGGAAUCGCUAGUAAUCGUAGAUCAGCAUGCUACGGUGAAUACGUUCCCGGGUCU